GAUGAACGCUGGCGGCGUGCUUAACACAUGCAAGUCGAACGGAAAGGCUCCUGCUUGCAGGGGUACUCGAGUGGCGAACGGGUGAGUAACACGUGGGUGAUCUGCCCUGCACUUCGGGAUAAGCCUGGGAAACUGGGUCUAAUACCGGAUAGGUCGAUGGUUUGGAUGCCAUUGUGGAAAGUUUUUUCGGUGUGGGAUGAGCUCGCGGCCUAUCAGCUUGUUGGUGGGGUAAUGGCCUACCAAGGCGUCGACGGGUAGCCGGCCUGAGAGGGUGUACGGCCACAUUGGGACUGAGAUACGGCCCAGACUCCUACGGGAGGCAGCAGUGGGGAAUAUUGCACAAUGGGCGCAAGCCUGAUGCAGCGACGCCGCGUGGGGGAUGACGGCCUUCGGGUUGUAAACUCCUUUCGCUAGGGACGAAGCGCAAGUGACGGUACCUGGAGAAGAAGCACCGGCUAACUACGUG
rnacentral:rRNA from 1 species